AUUGAACGCUGGCGGCAGGCUUAACACAUGCAAGUCGAGCGGUAACAGAGAGAAGCUUGCUUCUCUGCUGACGAGCGGCGGACGGGUGAGUAAUGCCUAGGAAUCUGCCUAGUAGUGAGGAUAACUUGCCGAAAGGUAAGCUAAUACCGCAUACGUCCUACGGGAGAAAGGAGGGGACCUUCGGGCCUUUCGCUCUUAGAUGAGCCUAGGUCGGAUUAGUUAGUUGGUGAGGUAAUAGCUCACCAAGACCGCGAUCCGUAACUGGUCUGAGAGGAUGAUCAGUCACACUGGAACUGAGACACGGUCCAGACUCCUACGGGAGGCAGCAGUGGGGAAUAUUGGACAAUGGGGGGAACCCUGAUCCAGCCAUGCCGCGUGUGUGAAGAAGGUCUUAGGAUUGUAAAGCACUUUAAGUUGGGAGGAAGAGCAGUUAACUAAUAUUUGACUGUUUUGACGUUACCGACAGAAUAAGCACCGGCUAACUUCGUGCCAGCAGCCGCCGUAA
rnacentral:rRNA from 1 species